CUGAUCCCUCAUGAAUAUGUAGAUUACUCUCACCCUUCACCUCGCUCUGGAAAAACCAGCCACCAUGUUGUAAGGAUGCUCAAGUAGCACUAUGGAGAUUCACACGUGGCAAAGAGCUGAGGCCUCCCACCAACAGCCACAUGAGGGAGCCAGAGUAGGAGUGGCUCCUCCAGCCCCAGUCGAACCUUCAGAUGUGACAGACUUGGCUGCUGACAGUUUGCAAUCUCAUGAGACCCUGAGCCAGAACCACCCAGCUAAAUCAGUCCUGGACUCCUGAUCAACAGAAAUGGUACCAAAGAGAGGCGUUUUGAACAUUAAGACGCUUUGCUGCUUCUCACCUGAAACACGUAACAGGAACACCAACCUCUUCAGCCGCGGGAAAUCUUCUUUGACACAAAACUCAAACCGAGUCAACCCAAAGUUCCAAGUUCUUUGCUUUCUCUUCUGUGUGUGUGUUGGUUUGUCCCAAAAGUCAGUUUGCAAGUUGAAACUUCAUGAAAUUACUCGUAGCAGAAAUAAAGUACAUUGUACAAAUCA
rnacentral:lncRNA from 10 species